rfam:S.tuberosum T1snRNA variant genes T1-7, T1-8 and T1-9.
AUACUUACCUGGACGGGGUCAAUGGGUGAUCAAUAAGACCCAAUGACCCAGGCUUGUGACCUACAUUGCACUUUGGAGGGGUGCCUGCCUAAGGUCAGCCCAAGUGGUUGAGCCUAUGUCAUAAUUUGUUGCAGUGGGUGCCUGUGUUUGCGCACGCCCUAC